GGGAUUAGUGGCGAACGGGUGAGUAACACGUGGGCAAUCUGCCCUGCACUCUGGGACAAGCCCUGGAAACGGGGUCUAAUACCGGAUACUGACCCGUUUGGGCAUCCGCGCGGUUCGAAAGCUCCGGCGGUGCAGGAUGAGCCCGCGGCCUAUCAGCUUGUUGGUGAGGUAAUGGCUCACCAAGGCGACGACGGGUAGCCGGCCUGAGAGGGCGACCGGCCACACUGGGACUGAGACACGGCCCAGACUCCUACGGGAGGCAGCAGUGGGGAAUAUUGCACAAUGGGCGAAAGCCUGAUGCAGCGACGCCGCGUGAGGGAUGACGGCCUUCGGGUUGUAAACCUCUUUCAGCAGGGAAGAAGCGAAAGUGACGGUACCUGCAGAAGAAGCGCCGGCUAACUACGUGCCAGCAGCCGCGGUAAUACGUAGGGCGCAAGCGUUGUCCGGAAUUAUUGGGCGUAAAGAGCUCGUAGGCGGCUUG
rnacentral:rRNA from 1 species